GUUCUUGCUUGGAUAGUACAUACAGUAAAACUGGAACAGUACAGAGAAAACUGGCAUGAUUCCUACAUACAGAUGACACACAAAUUCGUGAAGUGUUUCAUAUGUUU
ensembl:snRNA U6 U6 spliceosomal RNA